rnacentral:lncRNA from 1 species
AAUAAUAAAAAAAGGAAAAAAUAGAGAAAAAUGGAGAAAAUUACGCUCAUCAGUGUCGAUAUAGACUUUCGGCAUGACAGUGUUGCUGUCGCUCUGCCGUCUGCAAUUGACUCCGGCAUCUCCCUAUCAACGCGCAUCCCCGGUCGUUAGAUUGAUGUGUGUAUUCGAAUUGAGGCUGUCCAAUCUCAGGCAUGUAAAUUGCCUUCAUGGGAUCCCAUGUCAGACUCCUUGCUAGCGUGGCCACCACAAGAUG